rnacentral:misc_RNA from 1 species
UCCAUCGACAUAACCUUAUGUCGAUGUACAUAUCUCAUUCCCAAGUCAACCAUCAAUAAUUAUCACCUAAUUCCUUUGAGUACAGUCCCAUCUAUCUCGAAGGAGUAUAUUCAGAGGAUUUGUUAAAUAUCACACUCUGUCGCAAGCAAGUGCACCCAUUGUGUUCGAGUAGCGGAGUGCACUUAUAGAGAAUUUUCAAAAACACUCCCGAGAACAAUAUGCUCUAUCAUCUUUUUAUCAGAAUAUGUAUUAUUUUUGUAUCCUACUAUUUUAAUCUUGUCUUGACCUAUGGCAAUUAUCAAAACUGACCUAAUCUGUUAGCUAUUAGGGCUUAUUCUAAUUAUGGUUAUUUUUAUACUGAUCUUCAGUUGUUGGACCAAGUUAAUUUUUCUCUUAAUUUCAUUUAUUAGAAAAUGCAUCAUUACAUUCAUUGAAAUUUUAGUAGUGAAAGUAUAUUCAUAUGAUUUUACUUUUCAGGUUGUUGGACUGAUCAAUUCAGUUGAUGGUUUUCUAAAAGAAAAUAAAACAGGAAUUUCAAUGAAAAAUUCUGCCAACUUCUUAACUGACAUGAAGGGACAAAGACAUAAUGAGGACCAUUCGAUUGGUGAUGUAGUUACAAGGUAUUUGUCAGUCAUCAGUAGUAGUUCCUGGAGAGUUCAGGAUACAAAGCAAUAACUCAGCUCAUGCAGUAGAUCAAUUCUGAACCCAUACACCAAAUCAUAAUUGGUUCACUCUCCAUGAAGUUAUGAAUAGAUAAAUAGGAGUUGGCGUUUUCAUAGUUCCCUACAUAGCGUGCAAAGAUUGAAAUCGAUGCAUCAAUUACAAGGGCACAGGAGGCCCAUAAGAAGUUUGAGUUUUGGUCCCACAGGAACUCUUCUGUCCAGCAUGUCUGAGGAAAGAGAUGUUCUGAUAUGGGACUGGAUAUCGAAAAAAUACUUGCUUUGGUAUGAUUCCGGACAUAUGAUGAAUGUCUACCAUAAUAUAUUUGUCAAAUUAAAAGACAAUCUCGAUAUUGCAACAUGUGGUACUGAUGGACAGGUGACUCCGGGGCUGGACUGAAUGCUUUAGAAAGAAGACUUGAAAUGGAAGAAGAACUCAAUAGCAACACUUCAAAUGUUGAUCGGAUUGCAAGUGAUGAUUCAGAAGACACCAUCAGCUUGAAUGAAUCACAAAAUUUAGAUGAUUCUGAUCCCGAUUGGUAUAAUCCCAGCAAUAACUCUAUCAACUCAAAUGUUGCAGAAGAUAUACUCUCUAUCUCCCCUCCAAACCAUAAUUGGUUUUCCGUUCAUGAGGUUGUGAAUAGGCAAAUAGGGGUUAGAAGAAAUUUACGAUAUCCUGGUUCUUUUCAAAAGCGUUUUCACGGUUCUCUGCAUAGCGUACAAAGAUUGCAAUUGAUGCAUCAAUUACGAUUACACAGGAAUCCCAUUAGAAGUUUGAAUUUCAAUCGCACAGGCGCUAUUUUGAGUAGCAUGUCCCAGGAUGGUACUGUUGUAAUAUGGGACUGGAAUUUGAAAAAAUGCUUGCACAAGUAUCAUUCUGGGCAUAAAAUGAAGGCAUAUCAUAAUUUGUUUGUCUAUUUAAAAGGCGAGCAUCAUAUUGCAACAUGUGGUGCUGAUGGAGAGGUUAGGAUUGCACAUGUGUCUCUCAGCGAAGGCGUGAAAUCAAAUAUAUUAUUAGAGACUCGCCCGGACUUUUGUUUGAAGUUAGCUGGACUAAACGAUCAGCCUUACGUUUUACUCAGUGUUGGCAUGGAUGGCAUUGUCUUAAGCCAUGACAUCCGGAAGAAUGGCUCUGAGAAGGUAUUACAAGUCACUAUGCCUCUCUUCACCGUUCAAGGCAAUCCGAUGAGAACGAUGGAAUUCUGUAUCGGAGGACAAGGUGAAAAAGUCGAAACCUACGACCUAAGAAAGACGGACAUUCCAUUGGCUUCUAUUCAUCCAUGCGAAUACAUAAAAGAUCGAGCAACCCGUAGGAUUUUUGUGACUUCCGUGGAAUACAAUCACAAUGGAACUGAAAUUCUCGCGUCAUAUAACGACGAUGAAAUAUAUUUAUUUGACGUCAACUCAAAGCCGGGAAUAUUCUUGAAAAAAUACUUUGGACGCCAUAAUUAUUCAUUGGCUAUGCUGAAUGCCAAUUUUUUUGGGCCUAAUUCAGAGUUUGUCGUUAGCGGAUCUUGUACGGGCCACUUAUUUUUCUGGGAUAAAGAUACCACAUCUAUAGUUCAGUGGAUUAAAGCAGAUUAUAGUUAUAUAAAAAGGAAACUCUUGAGUGAUGAAUGAUGGAGAUAAAGAUGAAAAUUGAACAGACAAGCGAAACCCUCCAAAACUCGAAACUUCAACAGAUUGAACAAAGACUGAAGGGAAUCCAAUAGAUCUUCAGAUUCUUCUUCUACAGAACAGAUCCUUUCCAGUGGCUUUAGCUAUGGCAUACAAAUGGAUGUCCUGAAAUGAUAGUAUUGAAAUGCUGGGAAAUGAUAUUUAAUGGCUUGCUGGGAAUUGCUCAAUAGAAGUAAGAAACCGCCAAAAACAUGAAAACAUCUUCCCAUGACCAGUACCACAGAAGCAAGAGUAGCAUGAAAAUUUUGUAUUAUUGUAAAUAAAUUUCACUUUGAUUUUCAUGA